AACGCGACAUGCACUACAAAUUGAAGGUAUGAAAUUAAGUUAAAUGAAAGCUCGUUUAUUCACCACAUGAUGCUCGUUAUGAGGUAAUCAUAUAGGCUAGAUACCGUGAGUUAACGAGGUCGUUUACAUGCACGUGAGUGCACGGAUAUCGGUUAAUUAUUCAAAUUACUGAAAAACACGGAGAAAACCGCAACCGCAUCGUCAUGUGUUUUUUUUUUAGAUGUAUGCAAACAGGGAAAAUAUCGCCAAACCAACAAUUCAUUUUACCUCAGAAUAUGCACAGAUUGGAUGCAUUGUGUGUUGUAAGCUUUUCGUGGCGCUAGAUGUCAGACAGAUGCAAAUAGCAAAUACAUACGAAAGUGUAAAACGUGUAUGGCGAACAUUUGUUUUUCUGUCAUUAUAGAUGCUAGUUUGGUGAAAGUACACACUGAGUGCUUCAAAUCAUUCAGAAGAGAUGCUGUUUUUAGGGCAGUUUAUUAAAGAAGACCUGACAUGGAUGACUUCCAAUGACAAACGACUGCUAAUACUUAUAUAAAUUCAUUAAAGAAGGACCCUACCAGACUAUAUUUGAAUACGGCAUACCCGUGAAUUCUGGAACUGUUAUUCCUUAACCCAGUUUGGAGGAUAAGAGCUUACCAACUAUAAAUAUGCUGAGGCGAUGUAUUGCAAAAUAGCCAACAUACAACAAUUAAAGGAUAAUUGCAGCCUAUAUCCUGAUGAAGAUAUGGAUGACCCUCUGUCUGGUCAACAGGAGUUUAAAUAUGGACGGGACAGUUAUGUGGCAGCUCUUCCCUAGCUCAUUCACUUCUUGCCUUCAUUUGUGAAAGGAGGAAAGACUGGAGAAGGUCAAUGUGCAACUGAAGCUACUGAUUGUGCUGUGUGAUGAGCAUCAAUCCAUGCUUUGAGGUGGAUGGAUCAGCACAGCCCUGCCUGCUCUGCGUUGGGAACAAAAGUUGCAUCCAGAAUUUUUGCAUCAUUCUGGACCAAAAAGCCAUUCCCUCCAUGAUGAAGACCACUGAUGCAGCCUUCCACUACUGUACAGUAAAACAACUACAGAACUAAAUACCAGGUUGGAACGUGUUUAAGAAAAAUGAAACGUCUUUUGAAUUGAAAUGUCUGUUUUGUUAUGGAAAAAUCUUUAGUAUUGUGAAGGAUAAGCAUUUCUGCUUGCCGAUAAGGUAAUUGCAUGUAUUUUAAUGUUCAAGUUUUGAGUAGGGUGGCUAAUUUUUUUAACUCUUAUUUGAUUUAUUAAA